AUGGAGCCUGAUGUGUCCAUAGGAUAUUGUAUGCACUUGAGAGUUGAGAUUAAUGUGCUGCAACCUCUGUUUGAUGGCUUCACUAAUAAGAAGCAAGAUGGGUCCCAUGGAAGGGUAAGAUUUAGAUAUGAAAGGCUCCCUGAGUUUUGUCAUAUGUGUGGUGUUUUGGAUCACCAAAUUCGGAACUGUAGAAACCUAAAACAGGCUCUUAGUCCAUAAAACAAAGAGAAGAGGCAAGAAUACGACCACUGAAUGAGAGCUGGCUUGUUUUCUUCUCAAAACCACUCACCUCCUAGGAAGCAAUCUUAAGGGUUCCUUGAAGGUCCAUCUGCAAUGGCUGAGCAGAGCAAUGGGUGGUGCGUGAUUCUCAUGAUAAAGAAGCUAACUCGUUCAGAAGCUCUAAUCCUGAAGUUGUUCCUUCACCUACCACUCAAGAGCACUGUCAAAUUGAGGUACUCAGACGCACCAAAUGUCAAUUAUCCUUUGUCCUAGCAGACAACACCACGUCAAAUCUACCCUUUACUUUCUUUAAUUUUUAACCAAUCAAAUAAGAGAAUGUCAGUCUAAAACCUUACCCGUCAACUUUUCUUCCCAAAAACAUGCUAAGAGCUCCGAUGAGUGGAUCUCUCUCUUUGUUUUUUAAUCGAUCGUAGGCUGAUUUAGUUGGUAAGUUUGUUUAUAUCUCUGAAAAUAGCCCUAUUUUAUCCUUGGAAAACCUACCUGUUUGCCCAAGCUCUCCUCCUCUCUUUGAACCCAACUCACUCACAAACCCAAACACUCCCGAUGUUAAGCCCAAAAAAUCAAAAGCCUCUCCAAAAUUGAAACUCAAAGUCUUAUCCCAAAGAAAUAACCUUAUUGGUAAUGUUGAACUGUUUGGGAGUUCUAAAGGUCUUUCUCUAUGGUGGAAGGAUGACUAUCAGAAUUCUCCAAUAUUCUAAUCGUUGGAUUGACUUUUUAGUUUUGUCUCCCUCACAUUGGCAUUCUACGUUUAUGUAAGGGGAUCUUGAAGUUCAAGGAAGAGAGUUAUUUUUGAGUUCCACCAAGAACUUGGUUGUUAGGGAUGUUCCUUGGCUCUUAAUAGGUGAUUUCAAUAUUUGUAACUCAAUCUAGGAUAAAAGAGGAAGCAAGUUCAAUCAUGGUCUUGCUAGUCUUUAUAACAUAUUUUUUAUUGAGGCAGAGCUAGAUGAGAUCCAAUUCAGAGGCUAACAUUUCACCUAGACCAAUAAUUAGCAUGGGCAAGGCAAAAUCUUUGAACACAUAGACAAAGUUGUUGCAAAUUUUGAUUGGUUCCAUAUGUUCUCUUAUUAUCAAUUGUAUCAUGAUAAAUUCUUUGGAUCUGAUCAUAAGCUUUUGAUCCUCUAUCUUACUCCAAAAACCCGAAAACCUCCAAAGUCUUUUGCUUUUAAUAUGAGCUGGACUACUUCUGACGAUUGUGCUACUCUUAUCAAUACCCUUUAGUGUUUCUCGUCAUCUCAGGCAGACAUUUAGAAUAAACUGAAUUUUUGCAGAGAAGUUCUCCCCUAUUGGUCCAGUUAUGUGUUUGGGAAUUCUAAAAGAAAGAUUCAAGAACUCUCAGCUAAACUUGACUCCCUGCUAUCUAAUGACUAUGUUAAUCUUGUUGAAAUUGUCAAUGCUAGAAAUCAACUUCAAGAGCAAUAGAAGCUAGAGGAACUUUAUUGGUUUCAAAAUCACAGGUCGAUUGGUUGAUGUAUGGGGAUCGAAGCUUCAAAUUUUUCCAUUUGGCAUCCACUCAAAGACAACAACAAAACAGAAAUAGAGAUGGGACCUAGAUUGAAGAAGAAGAGGCAAUAAGAAGGGAAGUUUUGAAUUUCUUUUCCCAGAUCUUAACCAUCGCUGCGAGGGAAAUUCUAGAAGCAAACUUAUAUACCAUUCCCUCCUUUGUCAUUGAUGUGAUUAAUGAAGCUCUGUGUGCUAGGUUUUGGAGGAAGAGGUUUGAUUUGCAGCAUUUAGCUUAGGAGCUCAUAAGGCCCCAAAGGCUGAUGGCUUUCGAGACCUAUUUUUUCAUAAAUAUUGGGAGGUGGUGCAUGGGGAUGUGUUCAAAAUGGUUGCCAACUUUUUUCAAUUAGGAGAGUUUCCUCUUAAGUUAAAUAACACAAACAUUGUUCUUGUCGCAAAACAAAAGCACUAUGUAUUUCUGGGAGAUUAUUGAUCUAUUAGCUUGUGUAAUUUCUCCUAUAAGAUUAUCUCAAAGGUGUUGACUAAUUGCUUGAAGCCAUGGCUAAACUCUCUAAUAUCUCCUUUACAAUCGCUUUUGUUUCUAAUUGGAGUAUUUAGGACAAUAUAUUUAUUGCUUAUGAGGAUUCCAUGGCCUAAAAUACCUAAAGAGAGGAAAAAAAGGAGCCAUGGCAAUUAAGGUGGACAUCCAUAAAGCAUAUGACAAAGUUGACUAGGGUUUCCUAGAAGCAGUCACAAGGAAGAUGGGGUUUGAUGAACGGUGGAUUUUCUAGAUUAUUCAGUGCAUCACAUAGGUGGAAUACUCCAUCAUUAUUAAUGGUUCCAAAAGCACCCUCUUCCGACGCUCAUGUGGCCUUCGUAAAGGUAUCUUAUAUCACCCAAUUUUUUUCCUUUUGAUCUUUAUUGUGCUAGCUAGAUGUAUAGAGCAAACUCUUCAGAAUUCUAUUCGAGGUUAUAAGAUCAAAAGACAUUGUUCACCUUUAACCCACCUCCUUUUGCCAAUGACAUUUUUCUCUUCGGGCAAGCAUCUUUGGAGGAAGCAAUCCGAAUUGUGAAAAUUUUAGAAGCCUUUAGUUCAGCCUUGGAUUUGUUUAUCAAUAGAACAAAAUCUGAUAUUUCUUUUAGCCCAAUAUCCCUCUGGAUAUCUGAAGAUAAGUAACUAAUAGAUUACAAAUUUGAAGUGUUAGAGUAUGAAUAUAGUUUGUAUAUAAUUAAAGGAGAUUAUAUAAUCAUAGACUAAUUGAUACUGAUCCACUGAUAGAGGAUUCUUAGGAGUUGCCUUAACAAGGUCUUAUAAUCUGAAUAUAAACGCCCUUACUUCAAUAGAAAAAAUACAUAGAAAUUGUCAAAUUAUUCCUUAUCUUGUUAUAUGGUAUUAGAGUCUUAGGCUCGAUUAGGUCUCUGUUUUCUUCAUUUUGGCUUCUGCUAGUUGUGGGUUUUGGCUUCUGUUAGUCGUGGGUCACUAUUUCUGAUGGUCGUUGGAUCUUACCACUGUUAAAGGGAGGAGCGCACCUCUGUUUAUAGCCCAUCCCCAUAAUCCGAUGACCAUCUGGACAGCACGUGAGCUUCACACGCUGAGUUUCUAUUUCGGUUUCUCCUUCAUGUGCCAGCAAGUGUAGGCGCUUGAGACCUCUGGUGGGCCUCCGAUCUUCUUUCUGAGUUUUGCUGCCAUAUUUUUGUCCAUUUUCCAGUCAUCCUUCGGUCAUUGGAGCUUGUGCAGUAGGGUCCUUCAUUGGUUGGGAGCUAUACAGGUUCUUUUCUUUCAGUUCAAGCCUAUUUUUUGGCUUUUUAAUCUUAGGUGCAUUAUUUUGUGGCCUGGUUUUGUGUCUUGAAUCUGGAAGAAGGGUUUUGUGAAGUGAUUAUUUUAGCUUGAAUUGGUUAAAAUGGCGUACAAUAGUAAGUCUCAUGUUAGUGAAAAUUGCAAGAAACUGCAAAAUAAGAAUUGAAAAACUGCUAAUGUUGUUGCAUCUAGAUCUUCCUCUGAGAAUACCAUUCUUAUCUCAGUUGAAGAAUAUACUCAGUAUCAUAAUUUGUUGAGAGGGUCCAUCCCAAUAACUGCUAAUACUAAGUUAGGUAAAACUUACUUUAUCUCCUCCUCGCAUAAAUGGGUCAUUGAUUUUCGGUGCCAUGAAUCACAUGACAGAUAAUCCUCACACAUGGGUCAACAUAUAAUGUUAAGGGUUCUGGGACUGUUAAACCUACUUCUUCUAUUACUCUAUCACUUGUGCUAAAUUUACCAAAUUUUGCCUUUAAUUUAAUAUCUGUGAGUAAAUUUAGCAAAGUCCUAAAUUGUUGUAUUUCUUUUUUUCCUGAUCAUUGUCUUAUUCAGGAUUUUAUGACGAAGCAGAUUAUUGAUAAAGGACAUGUAUCUGGG
rnacentral:lncRNA from 1 species